UUCCGGUUGAUCCUGCCGGACCUGACUGCUAUCGGAUUGAUACUAAGCCAUGCAAGUCUUUGUAGUAAUACAAGGCGUACGGCUCAGUAACGCGUAGUCAACCUACCCUAUGGAUGGGGAUAAUCUCGGGAAACUGAGCAUAAUACCCAAUAGAUCAUCAAUUCUGGAAUGGUUGAUGAUUCAAAUGAUUUUUCGCCAUAGGAUGGGACUGCGGCCUAUCAGCUUGUUGGUGAGGUAAUGGCCCACCAAGGCAAUUACAGGUACGGGCUCUGAGAGGAGAAGCCCGGAGAUGGGUACUGAGACAAGGACCCAGGCCCUAUGGGGCGCAGCAGGCGAGAAAACUUUGCAAUGUGCGAAAGCACGACAAGGUUAAUCCGAGUGAUUUCUGCUAAAGGAAUCUUUUACCAGUUCUAAAAAUACUGGCGAAUAAGGGGUGGGCAAGUUCUGGUGUCAGCCGCCGCGGUAAAACCAGCACCUCAAGUGGUCAGGAGGAUUAUUGGGCCUAAAGCAUCCGUAGCCGGCUCUGUAAGUUUUCGGUUAAAUCUAUAUGCUCAACGUAUAGGCUGCCGAAAAUACUGCACAGCUAGGGAAUGGGAGAGGUAGACGGUACUCGGUAGGAAGGGGUAAAAUCCUUUGAUCUAUCGAUGACCACCUGUGGCGAAGGCGGUCUACCAGAACAUGUUCGACGGUGAGGGAUGAAAGCUGGGGGAGCAAACCGGAUUAGAUACCCGGGUAGUCCCAGCUGUAAACGAUGCAGACUCGAUAAUGCAUUGGCACAUAGCCAGUGCAGUGUCGCAGGGAAGCCGUUAAGUCUGCCGCCUGGGAAGUACGUACGCAAGUAUGAAACUUAAAGGAAUUGGCGGGGGAGCACCACAAGGGGUGAAGCCUGCGGUUCAAUUGGAGUCAACGCCGGG
rnacentral:rRNA from 1 species